AGACAGCGGAGACCAGUCGACUACCUCUGAUGAUUUCUGAGAUCUGAAAUUCUUCAAGAGAAAGAGAGUCCAACAAGAAACCGGGGAGGCUGGAGGGGGUCUCUUGACCCACAAGAUUCAUGUUAGCUUCAGGAGCUAAUCAAGGCCUCUGGAUUUGAGCGAAACUGGUCUGAAUUGAUCGCCAAUAAGGUAGAUCAGGAUUUUACAUUGAAACUGUUCAAAGUUCUGUAAGUUUAGAUUGUAGCAUAUAUAAAAAACCGCUGGGUUAUUGUUGUUGUUGUGGCCAUGGCACUGGCUUUGGUUGGAGGGGCUGCCAUAGGAGCACUCUUCGGAGCGCUGUAUGAUGUCGUUAAGGAAUCGAUGGGCAGGACUGUUUUGCAGUAUAAACCCCUCCUUGGAGAUCUUAAAUUCACUCUGGAAUCUCUACGGCCGCGCAUCGUCCAACAGAUACGAGAUCAUAAUGUGGAGUUAGGCCUCCCGAACGACGAUAUCGAGAGCCUACAAAGACAAAUGGAGGACGGCAUAGUGCUUGUUAGGAAGCUGUCAAAUAAUGGUAUGUGGAAUUGUUAUGCAUGGGGCAGCUGCUGCAACUGCACAAAGCCCAGUUACAGCGACCAACUUGUUGACUUGGAUAGGUCUCUUAGAAUACUGUUAGAGAUAUUGAAGCUGCAGGAAGCAAGGGAUGUGAAGGAGGUCUUGCUUUUGACUAGGAAGAUCGAUGACAAACAAGAUGAAUUGGAAAGAAGAAUGUCAGAUUUGCUGAAAGUGCAGCAGGAAGCAGGGGAUGUGAGAGGGUCUUCAGGAAGCAACAUAGGCACGACGGUACAGCAAGGAAACGAAGGGAAUGGAGGGCAUCAAGUGGCGCCAGUAUGCGGAGUAGGAGGGGCUGCUACUCUAGGAGCAGUUUUUGGAGUGUUGUUUGAUACCGUUGCGCGAGUGAAGGACAAGACUAUGAUGCUUAAACGCCCUCUCGAAGAUGUCAAAUCCACGCUAGACUCGUUAAAACCACUAAUAGAAGAAAUAGCAGCGUAUAACAAGGUAUUGAAUCUCCCAAAGGAGGAAUUAGAAAAGGUUAGAUUUCAAAUGGAAGAGGGUGUGGAGCUACUUCACAAGUGCUCCAAGGUUCGUCAGUGGACUAGCUACAACAGGUAUGAAUAUGCAAACAAACUUCUUGGAUUGGAUGAAUCGCUUCAAGGAUUGUUAAAUAUAUUAAGAGUGCAAUUAGCAAGGGAUGUGAGGGAGAGGUUGGUUUCCGUAAGUAAAAUAGAGAAGUUGAUUGAUCAAAUUGAAGAGAGUGGUACGGUACAAUUACAGAAUCAUCCAACUGAAAUUGAAGAUUCAUGUGAUGUACUUGAACCCCCACAACCUGAAGUUGGAUUGAGUGUGCAGGGAACAAGGGAUGUGAGGAUUCGGCAGCAAAAAUAGAGGUCGGGGUGAAGCGAAUUGAAGGUAGUGGAGAUGUACAAGGUCAAACUGACAUGGGAAUAGGUGAACCUAAGUUGCCUACACUUGAAGCUCCGGAUGUUGAAAAUGAGGUGAUUGAAUAUGUAUCUUCAACGGUUACAGUUGGCUUGGAUGAAGACCUGAUAUGUGUUUCUCCCGCACCUUCCUUCACAGCGAUGGAUGACGAACCAACUGCUUACUUUAGUGAUUUCUCCACAUCCUACCUGGAAGACAAAAUCUCUCAUGUUUCAGAAGAUGCUAACCCGAUGGCUCAUUUUCAUGAUUCCUCUGCAUCCACCGCAAGAGAUAGAAGCUCUUAUGUUUCAAGGGAUGUUGGGACAAAGUUUCCUCUUGGCAAUCCUGUCAAGUCUACACAGAUAUAUUUGCACCAGAAGUUGGAACUGAAGGUGAGUGCUGAUGACAAAAAAAUGAAGAAAGUCACGGAAGCUGUCUGUGCCAUAAGGGGGGUUAGUUCGAUUAGUUGGGAUGCGAAGAACCAAAAGCUAACAGUGUUUGGACAGUUGGAUCCAAUGGUAAUACUGACUAAGUUGAGGAAGAUAGUUCGUAAAACAGAGUUUAUAUCAGUAGCCAUGGAAGAAAUAAAAGAAGAUAAGAAAGAGAGAAAUCUUACUAUGAAAGAGAAAAUGGAAGACAACAAAGACUGCAGCAUUGGGUACAGCCUGCAGCAUUUUGCUGAAUUAAUUUCGUAUCAAGGGGCUCGGCAUCUGCGUAUUGAUGAAAGGAACUAAACGAGCAAGCAUCCAACUGUGCUUCUGCUUCAGAUGCCAAGAAUGUUAGAGGUUUAGGAUCAGAUACGUACGGUUUUGAUCGAUGCUGUAAAGGUUCAGAUAGGUAGGUAGGGUUCCAGUCCUGAUUGUAUGGUUCAUGAAGUAGCUCAGCAAUGAAGUCUGCUAUCUCGUAUAAGUAGAAAACUUUCAAUUUGACAAGCAUUUGUUCCUUGUCUGAGUUGUCUCUUGUGGACAAAUUCCAAAGAAAGGGUACACAGCAAAACCGAAAAUAGUUAACUGGUGUACCAUGUUCCUGCUAGGGUGUUUUUUAUUUCCUUUUGCUCUAUAAUAUUCAUUUGAUUCUGGUCAUUUUUUAACUUUUGUAAA